rnacentral:tRNA from 1 species
GAUCUAAUAGCUCAAUUCGGGAAGAGCGCCCGCAUGGGAGGUUGGUGGUUCGAAUCCACCUGGGUCU